rnacentral:rRNA from 1 species
UACGGAGGGUGCGAGCGUUGUCCGGAAUCACUAGGCGUAAAGGGCGCGUAGGCGGCGAGGAUAGUCAACGGUGAAAGCUUGGGGCUCAACCCCGAGUCGGCCGUCGAUACUUCCUUGCUUGAGCACUGUAGAGGCAGAUGGAAUUCCGGGUGUAGCGGUGGAAUGCGUAGAGAUCCGGAAGAACACCGGUGGCGAAGGCGGUCUGCUGGGCCGAUACUGACGCUGAGGAGCGAAAGCGUGGGGAGCGAACAGG